rnacentral:rRNA from 1 species
UACGUAGGUGGCAAGCGUUGUCCGGAAUUAUUGGGCGUAAAGCGCGCGCAGGUGGUUUCUUAAGUCUGAUGUGAAAGCCCACGGCUCAACCGUGGAGGGUCAUUGGAAACUGGGGAACUUGAGUGCAGAAGAGGAACGUGGAAUUCCAAGUGUAGCGGUGAAAUGCGUAGAGAUUUGGAGGAACACCAGUGGCGAAGGCGACUUUCUGGUCUGUAACUGACACUGAGGCGCGAAAGCGUGGGGAGCGAACAGG